rnacentral:rRNA from 1 species
GACGAACGCUGGCGGCGUGCUUAACACAUGCAAGUCGAACGGAAAGGCCCUGCUUUUGUGGGGUGCUCGAGUGGCGAAAGGGUGAGUAACACGUGAGUAACCUGCCCUUGACUUUGGGAUAACUUCAGGAAACUGGGGCUAAUACCGGAUAGGAGCUCCUGCUGCAUGGUGGGGGUUGGAAAGUUUCGGCGGUUGGGGAUGGACUCGCGGCUUAUCAGCUUGUUGGUGGGGUAGUGGCUUACCAAGGCUUUGACGGGUAGCCGGCCUGAGAGGGUGACCGGCCACAUUGGGACUGAGAUACGGCCCAGACUCCUACGGGAGGCAGCAGUGGGGAAUAUUGCACAAUGGGCGGAAGCCUGAUGCAGCAACGCCGCGUGCGGGAUGACGGCCUUCGGGUUGUAAACCGCUUUCUCCUGUGACGAAGCGUGAGUGACGGUAAUGGGUAAAGAAGCACCGGCUAACUACGUG